UACGUAGGGUGCAAGCGUUGUCCGGAAUUAUUGGGCGUAAAGAGCUCGUAGGCGGUCUGUCGCGUCGGCUGUGAAAUCCCGAGGCUCAACCUCGGGUCUGCAGUCGAUACGGGCAAACUGGAGUGUUGCAGGGGAGACUGGAAUUCCUGGUGUAGCGGUGAAAUGCGCAGAUAUCAGGAGGAACACCGGUGGCGAAGGCGGGUCUCUGGGCAACAACUGACGCUGAGGUGCGAAAGCGUGGGGAGCAAACAGG
rnacentral:rRNA from 1 species